UAACCUGCCCAAGAGAUCGGGAUAACACCUGGAAACAGAUGCUAAUACCGGAUAACAACAGAUGAUGCCUAUCAACUGUUUAAAAGAUGGUUCUGCUAUCACUCUUGGAUGGACCUGCGGUGCAUUAGCUAGUUGGUAGGGUAACGGCCUACCAAGGCGAUGAUGCAUAGCCGAGUCGAGAGACUGAUCGGCCACAUUGGGACUGAGACACGGCCCAAACUCCUACGGGAGGCAGCAGCU
rnacentral:rRNA from 1 species